UACGUAGGGGGCUAGCGUUGUCCGGAAUCAUUGGGCGUAAAGCGCGCGUAGGCGGCCCGGUAAGUCCGUUGUGAAAGUCAAAGGCUCAACCUUUGAAUGCCGAUGGAUACUGCCGGGCUCGAGUCCGGAAGAGGCGAGUGGAAUUCCUGGUGUAGCGGUGGAAUGCGCAGAUAUCAGGAGGAACACCAAUAGCGAAGGCAGCUCGCUGGGACGGUACUGACGCUAAGGCGCGAAAGCGUGGGGAGCGAACAGG
rnacentral:rRNA from 1 species